rnacentral:sRNA from 1 species
GUUUAGCCCUGAUAGCAGCGAUAUCCUUUUUGUGGUUGUUGAGGUUCUCGACAUAACCACAAAAAGAUAAAGCGUAUAGCAGGAAAUAGC